rnacentral:rRNA from 1 species
UACAGAGGUCUCAAGCGUUGUUCGAAUUCAUUGGGCGUAAAGGGUGCGUAGGCGGGUCUUUAAGUCAGGGGUGAAAUCCUGGAGCUCAACUCCAGAACUGCCUUUGAUACUGAAGAUCUUGAGUUCGGGAGAGGUGAGUGGAACUGCGAGUGUAGAGGUGAAAUUCGUAGAUAUUCGCAAGAACACCAGUGGCGAAGGCGGCUCACUGGCCCGAUACUGACGCUGAGGCACGAAAGCGUGGGGAGCAAACAGG